rnacentral:rRNA from 1 species
CACGUAGGGGACGAGCGUUGUCCGGAUUCAUUGGGCGUAAAGCGCGCGUAGGCGGCUCGGAAAGUCGGUCGUGAAAUGCCGGGGCUCAACCCCGGGACUGCGUCCGAUACUCCCGAGCUGGAGGCAGGGUAGGGGAGAUCGGAAUUCCUGGUGUAGCGGUGAAAUGCGCAGAUAUCAGGAGGAACACCGGUGGCGAAGGCGGGUCUCUGGGC